AGUGAACGCUGGCGGUAGGCCUAACACAUGCAAGUCGAACGGCAGCACAGUAAGGGCUUGCUCUUACGGGUGGCGAGUGGCGGACGGGUGAGGAAUACAUCGGAAUCUACUUUUUCGUGGGGGAUAACGUAGGGAAACUUACGCUAAUACCGCAUACGACCUACGGGUGAAAGCAGGGGAUCUUCGGACCUUGCGCGAUUGAAUGAGCCGAUGUCGGAUUAGCUAGUUGGCGGGGUAAAGGCACACCAAGGCGACGAUCCGUAGCUGGUCUGAGAGGAUGAUCAGCCACACUGGAACUGAGACACGGUCCAGACUCCUACGGGAGGCAGCAGUGGGGAAUAUUGGACAAUGGGCGCAAGCCUGAUCCAGCCAUACCGCGUGGGUGAAGAAGGCCUUCGGGUUGUAAAGCCCUUUUGUUGGGAAAGAAAAGCAGCAGGUUAAUACCCCGCUGUUCUGACGGUACCCAAAGAAUAAGCACCGGCUAACUUCGUG
rnacentral:rRNA from 1 species